rnacentral:rRNA from 1 species
UACGUAGGAUCCAAGCGUUGUCCGGAUUUACUGGGUGUAAAGGGUGCGCAGGCGGACUUGUUAGUCAGAGGUGAAAUCUCACUGCUCAACAGCGAAACUGCCUUUGAUACUGCAGGUCUUGAAUCCAGAAGAGAGUUGUGGAAUUCCGAGUGUAGCAGUGAAAUGUGUAGAGAUCGGGAGGAACACCGGUGGCGAAGGCGGGUCUCUGGGCAUCUCCUGACGCUGAGGCGCGAAAGCGUGGGGAGCAAACGGG